rnacentral:rRNA from 1 species
GGGGGGGGGGGGGGGGGGGGGGGGGGGGGGGGGGGGGGGGGGGGGGGGGGGGGGGGGGGGUGGGGGGGGUUGGGGGCGGGGGGGUGGGUGGGGGGGGGGUGAGCUACCUGUAGGACUGGGGGAACUUCGGGGAACCGGGGCUGGUGGCGGAUGAGAUUUUGAACCGCAUGGUUCACAGGUGAAAGACGGUCUUGCUGUCUCUGGUAGAUGGAUCCGCGCUGCGUUAGCGAGUUGGUGAGGUCACGGCUUCCCAAGGCAACGAUGCAUCGCCGACCUGAGAGGGUGAUCGGCCACACUGGAACUGAGACGCGGUCCAGACUCCUACGGGAGGCAGCAGUAGGGAAUCUUCCGCAAUGGGCGAAAGCCUGACGGAGCAACGCCGCGUGAGUGAUGAAGGUCUUCGGAUCGUAAAACUCUGUUAUUAGGGAAGAACAUAUGUGUAAGUAACUGUGCACAUCUUGACGGUACCUAAUCAGAAAGCCACGGCUAACUACGUG